rnacentral:rRNA from 1 species
CUAAGAAUCUUCCGCAAUGGACGAAAGUCUGACGGAGCGACGCCGCGUGGGUGAUGAAGGCCGGAAGGUUGUAAAGCCCUUUUCUACCUGAGGAAUAACCACUUGAGGCAAUGCGAGUGGGAUGACGGUAGGGUAGGAAUAAGCCCCGGCCAAUUACGUGCCAGCAGCCGCGGUAACACGUAUGGGGCGAGCGUUGUUCGGAAUCAUUGGGCGUAAAGGGCGCGCAGGCGGUUAUGCAAGCCUGGUGUGAAAGACCGCAGCUCAACUGCGGGGACGCGCUGGGAACUGUGUGACUGGAGUUCAAGAGGGGAAGCUGGAAUUCCUGGUGUAGGGGUGAAAUCUGUAGAUAUCAGGAAGAACAUCAGUGGCGAAGGCGAGCUUCUGGCUAUGAACUGACGCUGAGGCGCGAAAGCGUGGGGAGCAAACAGGAUUAGAUACCCCCGUAGUCC